GGGCCGUUAGCUCAGUCUGGUAGAGCAGCUGCCUUUUAAGCAGCGGGUCGCAGGUUCGAAUCCUGCACGGCUCAUCA
rnacentral:tRNA from 1 species